rnacentral:rRNA from 1 species
AGGACGAACGCUGGCGGCGUGCUUAACACAUGCAAGUCGAACGGUGAAGGAGAGCUUGCUCUCCGGAUCAGUGGCGAACGGGUGAGUAACACGUGAGUAACCUGCCCUUGACUCUGGGAUAAGCGUUGGAAACGACGUCUAAUACCGGAUACGAGCUUCAGCCGCAUGGCUAGGAGCUGGAAAGAAUUUCGGUCAAGGAUGGACUCGCGGCCUAUCAGCUAGUUGGUGAGGUAAUGGCUCACCAAGGCGACGACGGGUAGCCGGCCUGAGAGGGUGACCGGCCACACUGGGACUGAGACACGGCCCAAAGCCUACGGGAGGCGACGACGACGUAGGGG